GGUAUGGGCUAAAUCAAAAAUGCCAAGCAACCCAAUUGAAGACUCAAUCUUCCAAAUUGGCCAGGUAAGUGGAGAUCGGUGGGGGUCCCCCCGUUGCUUUUCUUACACAUCAAUAAAUAGGCCAGAUUAGCUAAUGGAAUCAAUUAAAUAAUCAUGUCUUAAUUACUUAUCUUAGAUACUAAUAGAUCAAUUGAUCCAA
rnacentral:lncRNA from 1 species